AAUACAUUUAUAGACGGUAAUUUGAAAUCCAUUGAUGAUGAAAACAAGAAAGUUCUUGAAAUAGGAGUUGAAGCAUUGACAACCUAUAUACAACAGAUGCACAUUGAACUGUGGAAGCAUGUGUCCAAAUAGUUGGGAUCCGAGUCCAUGUCUAAUUGGUUGAAUAAAAUGAGGCUAGGAUUCCUACACAAUUACAAGGGUUGGUAUAGAAUACUGACAAGUGAAGUGACAGCUAUAUUGGAGUUGCACAUAUCCCGUGUAAAGUUUGAUUUCUUGGUAGAGACCCAUGCAACCAUUUGUGAAGAGUUCAGAAGACUUCCUGGUCCAGGAUAACUUUGCUGUUGUUCAUCAAAAAGUUCAGCUGACAAAUUUCCAUUUGGAAACUCAAAAAUGUGUUAUCCCUUUAUACUAAGAGAGUAUUGUCAAGUUAGACAUCAACCCCAUUGCUUUUUUUAACUUCUGUUAAAUCAUAAUAUACAUGUCUUGUAGAUUAAAACAUUUCUUUUCAUGACUUUAUAAAUUUUAUAAGAUAGAUAGAUGAUCACUUGAAGACCUGUGUACAAUUUUAAGCAGUGUG